GAUGAACGCUGGCGGCGUGCCUAAUACAUGCAAGUCGAGCGAACAGAUGAGGAGCUUGCUCCUCUGACGUUAGCGGCGGACGGGUGAGUAACACGUGGAUAACCUACCUAUAAGACUGGGAUAACUUCGGGAAACCGGAGCUAAUACCGGAUAAUAUAUUGAACCGCAUGGUUCAAUAGUGAAAGACGGUUUUGCUGUCACUUAUAGAUGGAUCCGCGCCGCAUUAGCUAGUUGGUAAGGUAACGGCUUACCAAGGCAACGAUGCGUAGCCGACCUGAGAGGGUGAUAGGCCACACGGGAACUGAGACACGGUCCAGACUCCUACGGGAGGCAGCAGUAGGGAAUCUGCCGCAAUGGGCGAAAGCCUGACGGAGCAACGCCGCGUGAGUGAUGAAGGUCUUCGGAUCGUAAAACUCUGUUAUUAGGGAAGAACAAAUGUGUAAGUAACUAUGCACGUCUUGACGGUACCUAAUCAGAAAGCCACGGCUAACUACGUG
rnacentral:rRNA from 1 species